GUGGCUCGGGUGCUGUCGGGGUAUAAUGAUAUUAUUAUGGCGCGAGUGUUUGCUCAUCAGGAUAUUCUUGACUUAGCAGCAUAUGCGUCAGUGCCGGUUGUCAACGGCUUGACGGAUUAUAAUCACCCAUGCCAAAUAAUGGCUGAUGCACUUACAAUUAUCGAACAUAUUGGUCAACUGGAAGGAACCAAGGUUGUUUAUGUUGGUGAUGGAAACAACAUUGUACACUCAUGGCUUCUGAUGGCAUCUGUAAUUCCUUUCCACUUUGUGUGUGCAUGCCCUAAAGAUUUUGAACCAGAUGAGAAGACUGUUGAGAAGGCAAGAAGUGCGGGAAUUAGCAAAAUUGAAAUAACAAAUGAUCCCAAGGAAGCCGUUAAGGGUGCAGAUGUGGUGUAUUCUGAUGUUUGGGCCAGCAUGGGGCAAAAGGAGGAGGCUGAAUACAGAAAACAAUGCUUCAAAGGGUUUCAGAUUGAUGAAGCCCUGAUG
rnacentral:misc_RNA from 1 species